AUUGAACGCUGGCGGCAUGCCUUACGCAUGCAAGUCGAACGGCAGCACGGGAGCAAUCCUGGUGGCGAGUGGCGAACGGGUGAGUGAUGUAUCGGAACGUGCCCAGUCGUGGGGGAUAACGUAGUGAAAGCUACGCUAAUACCGCAUACGAUCUGUGGAUGAAAGCGGGGGACCGUAAGGCCUCGCGCGAUUGGAGCGGCCGAUAUCAGAUUAGGUAGUUGGUGGGGUAAAGGCCUACCAAGCCGACGAUCUGUAGCUGGUCUGAGAGGACGACCAGCCACACUGGGACUGAGACACGGCCCAGACUCCUACGGGAGGCAGCAGUGGGGAAUUUUGGACAAUGGGCGCAAGCCUGAUCCAGCAAUGCCGCGUGCAGGAUGAAGGCCUUCGGGUUGUAAACUGCUUUUGUACGGAGCGAAAAGGCUCUCUCUAAUACAGGGGGCUCAUGACGGUACCGUAAGAAUAAGCACCGGCUAACUACGUGCCAGCCGCCGCCGUAA
rnacentral:rRNA from 1 species